GUGCCAGCCGCCGCGGUAAUACGUAGGGUGCAAGCGUUAAUCGGAAUUACUGGGCGUAAAGCGUGCGCAGGCGGUUGUGUAAGACAGGUGUGAAAUCCCCGGGCUUAACCUGGGAAUUGCAUUUGUGACUGCACGACUAGAGUGUGUCAGAGGGGGGUGGAAUUCCACGUGUAGCAGUGAAAUGCGUAGAUAUGUGGAGGAACACCAAUGGCGAAGGCAGCCCCCUGGGAUAACACUGACGCUCAUGCACGAAAGCGUGGGGAGCAAACAGGAUUAGAAACCCCAGUAGUCC
rnacentral:rRNA from 1 species